rnacentral:rRNA from 1 species
AGAUUGAACGCUGGCGGCAGGCCUAACACAUGCGAGUCGAGCGGCAGCACGGGUACUUGUACCUGGUGGCGAGCGGCGGACGGGUGAGUAAUGCCUAGGAAUCUGCCUGGUAGUGGGGGAUAACGCUCGGAACGGACGCUAAUACCGCAUACGUCCUACGGGAGAAAGCAGGGGACCUUCGGGCCUUGCGCUAUCAGAUGAGCCUAGGUCGGAUUAGCUAGUUGGUGGGGUAAUGGCUCACCAAGGCGACGAUCCCGUAAUCGGUCUAGACGAGGAU